GUCGGUGUUGAUGGCAGUGAGGGUCCACCCGUUCCCAUCCCGAACACGGUAGUUAAGCUCACUUACGCCGAAGAUACUUGGCGGGAAGCUGCCCGGAAAAAUAGGACGAUGCCGACA
rnacentral:rRNA from 1 species